rnacentral:rRNA from 1 species
GACAAACGCUGGCGGCGUGCCUAAUACAUGCAAGUCGAACGAAGCUGUUUUAACUGGUGCUUGCACCGACUUAAACAACUGAGUGGCGAACGGGUGAGUAACACGUAGGUAACCUGCCCCAAAGCGGGGGAUAACAUUUGGAAACAGAUGCUAAUACCGCAUAACCACAGAAACCACAUGGUUUCUGUGUCAAAGAUGGUUUCGGCUAUCACUUUGGGAUGGACCCGCGGCGUAUUAGCUAGUUGGUAAGGUAAUGGCUUACCAAGGCAAUGAUACGUAGCCGAACUGAGAGGUUGAUCGGCCACAUUGGGACUGAGACACGGCCCAAACUCCUACGGGAGGCAGCAGUAGGGAAUCUUCCACAAUGGACGAAAGUCUGAUGGAGCAACGCCGCGUGAGUGAAGAAGGUUUUCGGAUCGUAAAACUCUGUUGUCAGAGAAGAACGUGUGCGAGAGUAACUGCUCGUGCAGUGACGGUAUCUGGCCAGAAAGCCACGGCUAACUACGUGCCAGCAGCCGCAGUAA